GUGCUCACUUCAGCAGUACAUAUACUAAAGUUGGAAUGAUACAGUGAAGAUUAGCAUGGCCCUGGCACAAGGAUGACACACAAAUUCAUGAAGCAUUCAACAUUUUU